rnacentral:siRNA from 1 species
GUGGUGAAGACAUGAGACACUCU